rnacentral:rRNA from 1 species
AUGGAUAACACCACCUGCCCGUUUAUGUGUUGGAAUGUAAGAGGACUAAACACCCCGGCUCGUCGAUUUGUAGUGUGUGACACCGCGAGCACACAUAGACUAGACAUUCUAUGCCUUCAGGAGACAAAGAUUGAAACAUGGUCGCCGGUGAUUGCUAGGGAAAUCGGCGGGGGCAGGUUAGAUGACUAUGCUGUGCUGCCGACCAUAGGAACGUGAGGAGGAGUCGCCGUCUUCUGGAACUCCGGCAACGUCUCCAUCCAAACUCACGCCAUAGGCCAAUUCUCCAUCACGACUAAAGUUAGUCUUAUG